AUUGAACGCUGGCGGCAGGCUUAACACAUGCAAGUCGAGCGGAGCGAGGGUGCUUGCACCUUAGCUUAGCGGCGGACGGGUGAGUAAUGCUUAGGAAUCUGCCUAUUAGUGGGGGACAACAUUCCGAAAGGAAUGCUAAUACCGCAUAAGCCCUACGGGGGAAAGCAGGGGAGCUUCGGACCUUGCGCUAAUAGAUGAGCCUAAGUCGGAUUAGCUAGUUGGUGGGGUAAAGGCCUACCAAGGCGACGAUCUGUAGCGGGUCUGAGAGGAUGAUCCGCCACACUGGGACUGAGACACGGCCCAGACUCCUACGGGAGGCAGCAGUGGGGAAUAUUGGACAAUGGGCGGAAGCCUGAUCCAGCCAUGCCGCGUGUGUGAAGAAGGCCUUUUGGUUGUAAAGCACUUUAAGCGAGGAGGAGGCUCUUAAGGUUAAUACCCUUGAUGAGUGGACGUUACUCGCAGAAUAAGCACCGGCUAACUCUGUGCCAGCCGCCGCAGUAAAAC
rnacentral:rRNA from 1 species